CUGAUAGAUCUCCUUGUAAAUUUGCUUAUCUGGGUUUUAUUCCUUUUCUUUUAUCUGUGAAAUCUCUAGGGUUUUGACUCACAAGUUUACUUCUCAUGCACCAGAUAGCCCCUUGCUUCUUUGAGAUAUAGUUGCGAGGAAAUUUCGAGCAAAAGGGUUUAGGUGCAAGAUUGAAUCUUUGGCAUGAGUUGUGCAGCGGUUGUGAGGCUUCUCUGUUGUGCAACUAUGAUUGGCCUGAAAAGGGGUACUAUAUUUAAGAUUGGCAGAGCAAAAUGAUGAAGCUUUUUGAAUCUGAAUUUGAUGUUGAAUCAUAUAUUAUGCCUUCAAAGUUCUCUGAUUGCUUUGCUAGAUCUGUUAAAAUGCGAGAUCUAAUUUGGUUUAAUAGGUUGAUGCUCUUGGUUAUACAUGCAUAUAUAAUCUUAAAGAGUUUCUGCAAGUACCUUCAGUUAAUCUAAUUUGAUGAAAUUAUAAUCUUUGUAUUGAUCUUGGCUGGCUGUGACAGCAUUUAAGGAUUUGGGCACCAAAAUUCAUAGUCUGUAAUGAUUCUAUGUUGCAGACUGUACGAGCAUGGUGCAAUAUUGAAGUUAUCUCUUUGCUUGCUCAUAGCUCUUCUCAUGUAUUGUCAUUCAACAAGUGAGGCAGAUCUAGUGAGAGAACAUGUUACCUUUGUGCUAGCUAGUUAGUGUUUUUGAUCUGAUAAGGUGUUUAUUGAUAUGGUUAUCGAAAGAGCCACAUUGUCUUUGGCCUACGGGAUCACUUACAAAGUUUUUUUUGACUAUAAUACACUCAUGUUAGUGUAGCAUGAAAGAAGUGCUAGCUCUGGAGUGCAUAUGAGGAUCAGGUCUAUCAAUAAGAAAUUACAGAACAACUCUUUUACAAGAUGUAAUUAUAGAAUAAGUGGAUCAAACACUUGUGGUAACUGUCGAGUAAAUCUCCCUCCUCCUUAUGUCCGGGCUUGGGACCGGCUGUGCAAAUGAUGAAGUUGCAAACAUUACACAGGCGAAGUGAGACAGGCUGAAAGCUAUGGUAAAAUACUAGCGCGGAAAUGGAAAAGGCCAACCAGCAUAUCCAAGAGAUGCUGCCAGGGAGGAAAAUACUUGUCAUUAAGAAGAACCCAUUAGCAGCAGAAGCGCACCCGGUUUUCUCUAUGAUAGUAGCAGCAGCUGGGUAAGAAUGCCUUAGGAAAAUCCCAGAGAAACAACCUGCAAAAGCAAUCACCAUGGCUACCCCAACUAUCUGCCAAGCAGUUGAAAUGUGUGACAUUGAAGUAGUGUUUUGCAAAGCAAGAGCGCAGCUGACAAUGGCUUGAAAUGUGAGACUGAGGAUUGUCUUCCCCAAUCUAAGUGGAGUCCUCGGUUGGUAACUGUUUAAGUGAACUUGACAAUCGGUGACAAAAACCGGUAAGUAAUCUGAUGCUCGAGGAUUCAACAGACAGCAGCUGUAACUCCUAGUUUGAAUAAUAAGAGUGGUUGGACAUGCCAUGGAAAUAAGAGAACAAGAGGAUCGGAUUUCGUUCAGGAACACUUGUGUGGAUGCUGUAGUGUUCUUAUUUCGUAGACGAAAUGUCAUGUUCCUUUUAUAAUAGGAAGCAGCGUUACUUUGUUGGAGACCCGAAGCUUCGUUGGCCCUUCGAACAGGCUCAAAAGAGCCUGCUUGGUCUGCUUAUGUAAACGAAAAGGACCAGAGGCCGGCCACAUUGAAAGAAAAGGAAAUGAUAGGUGUGAACCUCGAAUGCUUCCAGUUCUCAUCUAUUUUGUCAAACCGACCUUGCAGAAUUUUAGUAUUCUACACCGACUAUU